rnacentral:rRNA from 1 species
AUUCCAGCUCCAAUAGCGUAUAUUAAAGUUGUUGCAGUUAAAAAGCUCGUAGUUGGACUUCUGAUGUGGGACUGCGCCCCGGUAUUUUGCCGUUGGGUGCGGGCUCGCGUCUUCCUCUCGUAGUUGGAUGGUGCACUUAACUGGGUGCCUUCUGAAUAUGGGACCUUUACUUUGAAAAAAUUAGAGUGUUCAAAGCAGGCAAUCGCUUGAAUACAUUAGCAUGGAAUAAUAGAAUAGGAUCCACGUCCUAUUUUGUUGGUUUCUAGGACGAGGAUAAUGAUUAAUAGGGAUAAUUGGGGGCAUUCGUAUUAGCACGUCAGAGGUGGAAUUCUUGGAUUGUGUUACGACGAACUACUGCGAAAGCAUUUGCCAAGGAUGUUUUCAUCA